AACGAACGCUGGCGGCGCGCCUAAUACAUGCAAGUCGAGCGAGAAGACGUAGCAAUACGUUUGUAAAGCGGCGAACGGGUGAGGAAUACAUGGGUAACCUACCCUCGAGUGGGGAAUAACUAGCCGAAAGGUUAGCUAAUACCGCGUACGCUCCUUGGACUUCGGUUCAGGGAGGAAAGCGAUACCGUGGGUAUCGCGCUCUUGGAUGGGCUCAUGUCCUAUCAGCUUGUUGGUGAGGAACGGCUCACCAAGGCUUCGACGGGUAGCUGGUCUGAGAGGACAAUCAGCCACACUGGCACUGCGACACGGGCCAGACUCCUACGGGAGGCAGCAGUAAGGACUAUUGCGCAAUGGGCGAAAGCCUGACGCAGCGACGCCGCGUGGGGGAUGAAGGUCUUCGGAUUGUAAACCCC
rnacentral:rRNA from 1 species